GAUGAACGCUGGCGGCGUGCCUAACACAUGCAAGUCGAGCGAACAGACGAUGAGCUUGCUCCUCUGACGUUAGCGGCGGACGGGUGAGUAACACGUGCAUCACCUACCUCUAAUACUUGGAUAACUUCGUGAAACCGGUGCCAAUACCAGCGCAUAUAUUGAACCGCAUGGCUCAAUAGUUAAAGACGCUUUUCCUGUCACUUAUAGAUGGUGCCGCGCCGCAUUAGCUAGUUGGUAAGGUAACGGCCUACCAAGGCAACGAUGCGUAGCUGAUCUGAGAGGGUGAUCAGCCACACUGGAACUGAGACACGGUCCAGACUCCUACGGUAGGCAGCAGUGGGGAAUAUUCGACAAUGGGCGAAAGCCUGAUGGAGCAAUGCCGCGUGAGUGAUGAAGGUCUUCGGGUCGUAAAACUCUGUUAUUAGGGAAGAACAACUGUGUAAGUAACUAUGCACGUCUUGACGGUACCUAAACAGAAAGCCCCGGCUAACUACGUG
rnacentral:rRNA from 1 species